rnacentral:rRNA from 2 species
CUGACCUCGGAUCAGGUAGGGAUACC